GUAUACAGUAAUCUGACCUGUUAAAAAGUAGUACAACAUGCAAAGACAGGAGAACGUUAUCUCAGAUUAGAUUCUUCAGUGAGCAUCUCGUAUGACAAGUGGAGUGGAUGGACACUUAACUCGUUAUCGCAAUAUUUGCUAUUUAAGAUUAAUUUAAACAAAAAAGCCACUUAAUGUAUCUUAUACUCACACCUUUGAGCCAACCUUGUAUCAGUGUAGCAUCAAGUUAAGAGGCAAGAAGUCAUGUGAGGGUUUUCAAAGUACAUUUAGGCUAUAUUCAAAUAAGGCGAGACGUUUUUGCAGAAAUCACAGUUUGAAUAUUUACUUCCAAGGCCUCAUCACAUCAAAUAAUAUCAGAUAGGAAAUUAAUAUUUCAAACCAGUCUUUAUGUACUCAGGUCUAAUAAAAAUGGAAUUUAAUUAUUUAUUAUUAAUAUUUGGAUUAUUAUCAUCUGGUAGUGUACAUGGUCAGAAAAUUUGUUGGGACUCAAAAUGGUACAACGAAUCUGUUACAUUGAGAAAUGGAUCAAAUUAUGAACAUCAACCAGUAAGUGUAUUAGAUAAGAUUUGCACUCAAGGAUCAGUAAUAGCUGCACAGUGUAAGGAUAUUAAGGGAGAGGCCUUUCAAUAUCAAUUU